UGUUGCAGAAUUGCAAAUGUUUGGUACUGGUUGAAACUAUGAAAGUAAUACAGGUAAAUUUAAAGAAUUUAGACUUUAACUUUAUUAAUAGAAAAGAUAUUCCCAAAUGUCAAGGUGAAAGUGGACAUUGUAGAUUCUAAACACCCAUGUGAAAGCAACAGUCUUCUAUGGUGAGAGGAUGCCAUACUUAGCAUUAAUGCUCUUGUUAUUAUAUGGAAUAUGGCUUUUUUUAUCAUUAUUUUCACUAUUUUGAUAUUGAACAACCAACAUUGAUAACAAGUAAUAUAAAACUCUCACUUUUUUAUGAAUCCUAUCCUAUCAUAUUAAUUUACUUAUUUAAUUUUUGUUAUAUUUGUUAUCAAUUGUAGGUCUCAUGGUCAUCAUUUAACAGCAGGUUAUUAGCAGCAGUUUUGUAGAAAAAUGAAGGAUGACUGUCAAUGGUAAAUACAUACAUUUUAGGAUAAUUACAUGUAGUUACCUUUGAAAAAAAACUUAGGUUUCAUUUGAGACUUUUUAAUCUGAUAAUGGUGUUUUGCAGGCA
rnacentral:lncRNA from 1 species